CCCAUUAAUCCCAUUAAUUAACCCCAUUAAUGAAUGAAUCCCAUUAAUCCCCUAUAGGGUCCUCGGGGUCAGCGGGGUCCGCGAGGAGCCACCGGCAAAUCAGGAGCCAAGGGGACGUCGGGCAGCGAUGGACCACAUGGACCCACAGGAGAGAGGGGUCUACCUGGACCUGCCGGCCCCAAUGGCUUCCCCGGCCCCAAAGGACCCCCGGGACCCCCCGGGAAGGACGGAGUGCCGGGACACCCCGGGCAGCGCGGAGACGGGGGUUUCCAAGGCAAAACGGGACCCCCCGGCCCCCCUGGAGUUGUAGGGCCACAGGGUCCAUCGGGUGAGUCCGGCCCUAUGGGGGAACGGGGUCAUCCCGGCCCCCCCGGCCCCCCCGGGGAACAAGGACUGACCGGAGCCACAGGAAAAGAGGGAACCAAGGUGAGGGGGGGGGGACCCU